rnacentral:snRNA from 1 species
AUCCUUACAACAAUAGCACAUAUACUAAAAUUAGAAUAACACAGAGGAAAUUAGCAUGGCUCCUGUACAAGAAUAACAUGAAAAUUUGUGAAGCUUUGCAUGUUUUU